CUAAAAUGUCUUCCAUUUCUUGACUUUCUUCAGUCUUGGACUUUGUAGAUAGAGCAGUGAACUUGAAAGUCCAAAAGUUAUCUGGGUCAAUGACUCAAAGAGACAGAGCAUCACUCUUAUUUUCCAAAAAUCUGAGGCCUACUUGCUGUGUUUGAGAAAGGCUAAGAGAGGGACAAACACCUGAGAAGUGGCAUGUUGUAAAGGACUUUGUAGAUAAACAGCUGUGGGCUCUGCCAUUUCCUGGUCAGUCACAAAGACUUUGGUUUCUUCAUAAGUAAGAUGGAGUUAAAACACCACAAUGUUGUUUUGAGUUUAACUGAGACAAUAUGCAUAGGCUUGUUGGUACAGUGACUGGUGAAGAUGCUUCAUGAAUAUUAAUUCUCAAUCUGGAAUCUCCUUCGUUGGCUCCUCCUACAGCUGCAGGCCUGUCCACUCUGUUGACUGAGAUGAUUAUCAGGUCCCUCUUUCUUUAGUACUGAUAUCUAGAAACUCAGAAAUUGUCACACAAGAUUUUUGUUCCUUGGAACUUGAGUCAACUUCUCCCAAAGUUGCCCACUGCAGGUAUUCCUGAGGUCUCCAGCCUGACUGAGGAAGGGUCAGGCCUUUGUUCUCACACUUGGUUAUUCCCAGAAUCCAUGUCUAAGUUGUCACCAUUGUUCUUCCCUGAGGUCCUUACUGGAAUGUCUCUGAAAGCCUUGUCACGAUUUUUUUUUAAAGGAAAAGCUGUCAAGGUUGGCGCUUUCAACAACACCUCCACCUCCAGGAUUUCUUGUUGAGAAGAUAAAUUUCAGCACAAGCAGCCAUCCAGUAAUGUCAUACCACCUCGUCUGUUGGAGCAGAUUCUUCCUGAGAGGACUCGGGAAAGGUACUCUGUGAUUUCAGCAUGUCAACCACACAUCCAUGUGUUUGAAGACAUGGCGCAUAUGGCAAUUAGAAAAAGAAACCAGAUUACACUAAUAGGACAAGUGCAUUCUGAGUGUAUUCUUUAUUUUCUCAAAUAUGUGCAGAUUUUCUCUUAUUCUGGAGUAAAAGAAUUUCAGCUAAAUUUUGGAUGAACUCAU
rnacentral:lncRNA from 1 species